UUCACAUACAAACUUUCUCUAACCCGCUCUGCUCUCUUACGGGCCACACGCUUUUAGGUUUUUCCACCUGAACUGCAGCACCCAUCGUACAGGACGGUUCGAUCCGGUCCGGAACAGAGGGGCAAGACAGCAUUGCAGGGCACUGAGUUGUUAAAGGUACAAAAAAGCCAAUCAGCACACAAAAGCUUGCAGGCUUUUGGUUUCUGAUAGGCCAGAGAAAUGGCAAUGUGUCAGCGGUCUUGAAACGAAGUGCGGAUUCAGCUCUCUGCAGGGACUGCAUUUUCUGUGGACAAAACAUUUUGGAGACGUGAACGCAUCUUGAAGAGGCGACUGAGCAACGAGGAUUAUCAGCCUGAACGUGUAAUUUUAUCGCCAUCAAACAGAUGUGUAAUCGAAGACGAUCAGAGAAGCAGGAUAGAGAUGCAGAGCUAAUGAGGCAUCUAUCAGGGCCCACUGUGUCCCUGUCAUUGUGAACAGAGAAUCCAUUAACCCACGUGACCUUGCUCGGUUGUGUCCACUCCACACCAACCAGACAACACUGACAUGGCCUGAGGAAAGACCAGAAACACAGCUCAUUACUGCAUGAGCGCUUCCAGUCAUCCCGCCCAUCACCAGCUGACCAAUGGCUUUGGUGCUCCAAAGCACAACAUUCAACCGGACCGGAAUCAGUUUUCGAUUCACAGGACGAGGUUAUAGGGAUGCGUGUGUUUGCGGUUUUGUCUAGAGCAGAAUUUCAAGUUGUCUCAGAUCGAUUUGCCUGUAAUUCAAAUCAGACUCAAAAGCAGUGGUGUACUACUAAGCAAAUUAUCAACUGACCAACAAAAGAAGGCAGUGUGUCAAAAAUAGACUUUCACUACCAACACUUUAGCAAAUCAACCAGCCAACAACAAACAAGAUUUGCUAGGCAGAAAACAGCAACACGGUUUAACCAGACCCUCAUGCUGUUGUUGAAUUAUGCUGUACAGUCAAUAAUAUUGCCACAAGAUUUCACACAUAAGGGUCCUGCCUUAUUCCUCACCAACCCCCUUCUCGCUCUCUUUUUGUCCUUAAAAUGAUAAAUUGUGCCUUCCUAUCCUCACGUGGGGAGGUGCGCCAUAUGGAGGGUGUGAAUGAUGACAUCGUCCGCUUUUCUCUGGUGGCCAGAUUAGAUGGAAACAAGCCUGUUUGGGGAGUUGCCUUGUGGCAGGGCAAAGCAGUGAAAGACCUGCGUCAGAAACGACGCUACACUGAUGGGAAGAUUAGACAAGCGACUGACAUUGCAGACGAGACCGCAGGAAAGAUUAAUUUCAACACGUCCGAUUUUCCUGCCUCUGCAAUGACAUGAACCAGAGCGAUGCAACUUUGUCAUCACGUAUCCGGGUCUGGUGUCCAAUCUCAACAUAACACUGACUGUGACGUUACAGUCAAGAUGUACCCCCUCAACAUUAAAUUGCACAUUAAAUUAAGUACAAUGUUGUUACAAUGCU